UACGUAGGGGGCAAGCGUUGUCCGGAUUUAUUGGGCGUAAAGAGCGUGUAGGCGGCCAGGUAGGUCUGCUGUGAAAACUCGAGGCUUAACCUCGAGCUGUCGGCGGAAACCAUCUGGCUAGAGUCCGGAAGAGGAGAAUGGAAUUCCCGGUGUAGCGGUGAAAUGCGCAGAUAUCGGGAAGAACACCGAUGGCGAAGGCAGGUCUCUGGGCAUUAACUGACGCUGAGGAGCGAAAGCAUGGGGAGCGAACAGG
rnacentral:rRNA from 1 species